ACCGAAGCUCGUAGCCGUCUCCGGGCGUGACGGGUGGCUGGUAUCCUCCUUCCGGGGGGUGUAUGUCGCAAAGUGGGCCGGCGUUCUGCGUCGCGAAUCCCCACGUACUGUGUACGGACCGCCUCUUGGGCAGCUCAGUGGGGGCAAUUGGAUGGCCCGUGGAUUUCCCUUUGGCUUCGGCCUCGGGGGUUCCCCGGGCCGGGGCACCGGCUUCGGCCAGGGCCCCCAACCUCUAAACUAACCUUGACCCCCCUCUUGGGGGUUUUCCGGGGCCUCCUCCCCUCGGGGGGAGAGCCGUCCGGGGAAAAAAUUUUCCCGGGUUAUUGCCCCUAUACUCAUAUGUUUGUCUCAA
rnacentral:misc_RNA from 1 species